rnacentral:rRNA from 1 species
AACCCCUUGAGAGUGGCGAACGGGUGAGAAAUAUAUCGGAACGUGCCCAGUCGUGGGGGAUAACGUAGCGAAAGUUACGCUAAUACCGCAUACGAUCUAAGGAUGAAAGCGGGGGACUCGCAAGAGCCUCGCGCGAUUGGAGCGGCCGAUAUCAGAUUAGGUAGUUGGUGGGGUAAAGGCUCACCAAGCCAACGAUCUGUAGCUGGUCUGAGAGGACGACCAGCCACACUGGAACUGAGACACGGUCCGGACUCCUACGGGAGGCAGCAGUGGGGAAUUUUGGACAAUGGACGCAAGUCUGAUCCAGCCAUCCCGCGUGCAGGAUGAAGGCCCUCGGGUUGUAAACUGCUUUUGUACGGAACGAAAAGGUCUCUCUUAAUACGGGGGGCUCAUGACGGUACCGUAAGAAUAAGCACCGGCUAACUACGUGCCAGCAGCCGCGGUAAUACGUAGGGUGCAAGCGUUAAUCGGAAUUACUGGGCGUAAAGCGUGCGCAGGCGGUUAUAUAAGACAGAUGUGAAAUCCCCGGGCUCAGCCUGGGAACUGCAUUUGUGACUGUAUAGCUAGAGUACGGUAGAGGGGGAUGGAAUUCCGCGUGUAGCAGUGAAAUGCGUAGAUAUGCGGCGGAACACCGAUGGCGAAGGCAAUCCCCUGGACCUGUACUGACGCUCAUGCACGAAAGCGUGGGGAGCAAACAGGA